UGGGGAAUUUUGGACAAUGGGCGAAAGCCUGAUCCAGCAAUGCCGCGUGUGUGAAGAAGGCCUUCGGGUUGUAAAGCACUUUUGUCCGGAAAGAAAUCCUCUGAGUUAAUACCUCGGGGGGAUGACGGUACCGGAAGAAUAAGCACCGGCUAACUACGUGCCAGCAGCCGCGGUAAUACGUAGGGUGCAAGCGUUAAUCGGAAUUACUGGGCGUAAAGCGUGCGCAGGCGGUUUUGUAAGACGGAUGUGAAAUCCCCGGGCUUAACCUGGGAACUGCAUUCGUGACUGCAAGGCUAGAGUAUGGCAGAGGGGGGUAGAAUUCCACGUGUAGCAGUGAAAUGCGUAGAGAUGUGGAGGAAUACCGAUGGCGAAGGCAGCCCCCUGGGCCAAUACUGACGCUCAUGCACGAAAGCGUGGGGAGCAAACAGGAUUAGAUACCCUGGUAGUCCACGCCCUAAACGAUGUCAACUAGUUGUUGGGGAUUCAUUUCCUUAGUAACGUAGCUAACGCGUGAAGUUGGACCGCCUGGGGAGUACGGUCGCAAGAUUAAAA
rnacentral:rRNA from 1 species